ACGGCGAGUGAAGCGGCACAGCUCAAAUUUGAAAUCUCGUCCCCAGGGCCCGAGUUGUAAUUUGUAGAGGAUGCUUUUGGCGCGGCGCCUUCCGAGUUCCCUGGAACGGGACGCCAUAGAGGGUGAGAGCCCCGUCUGGUCGGAUGCCUAGCCUCUGUAAAGCUCCUUCGACGAGUCGAGUAGUUUGGGAAUGCUGCUCAAAAUGGGAGGUAUAUGUCUUCUAAAGCUAAAUAUUGGCCAGAGACCGAUAGCGCACAAGUAGAGUGAUCGAAAGAUGAAAAGCACUUUGAAAAGAGGGUUAAAAAGUACGUGAAAUUGUUGAAAGGGAAGCGCCCAUGACCAGACUUGGGCCCGGUGAAUCAUCCAGCGUUCUCGCUGGUGCACUUUGCCGGGCACAGGCCAGCAUCAGUUUGGCGCGGGGGAUAAAGGCUCUGGGAAUGUGGCUCCCUCGGGAGUGUUAUAGCCCACUGCGCAAUACCCUGCGCCGGACUGAGGUACGCGCAUCGCAAGGAUGCUGGCGUAAUGGUCAUCAGCGACCCGUCUUGAAACACGGACCAAGGAGUCGUCUUCGUAUGCGAGUGUUCGGGUGUCAAACCCCUACGCGUAAUGAAAGUGAACGCAGGUGAGAGCUUCGGCGCAUCAUCGACCGAUCCUGAUGUUCUCGGAUGGAUUUGAGUAAGAGCAUACGGGGCCGGACCCGAAAGAAGGUGAACUAUGCCUGUAUAGGGUGAAGCCAGAGGAAACUCUGGUGGAGGCUCGCAGCGGUUCUGACGUGCGAAUCGAUCGUCAAAUAUGGGCAUGGGGGCGAAAGACUAAUCGAA
rnacentral:rRNA from 1 species